UGGUGGAGUGAUUUGUCUGGUUAAUUCCGUUAACGAACGAGACCUCGACCUGCUAAAUAGUUCGGCAAAGCUUCGGCUUUGUACGUGACUUCUUAGAGGGACUAUCGGUGGUUAGCCGAUGGAAGUUCGAGGCAAUAACA
rnacentral:rRNA from 1 species